rnacentral:tRNA from 1 species
GGAUAGGUGCAGGAGUGGUUUAACUGGCACGCCUGGAAAGCGUGNNGGGUUCGAAUCCCCCCCUCUCCG